UACGUAGGGGGCUAGCGUUGUCCGGAAUCAUUGGGCGUAAAGAGCGCGUAGGCGGCCAGAUAAGUCCGGUGUGAAAGUCAAAGGCUCAACCUUUGAAUGCCGCUGGAAACUGUCUGGCUAGAGUCCGGGAGGGGCGAGUGGAAUUCCUGGUGUAGCGGUGAAAUGCGCAGAUAUCAGGAGGAGCACCAAUGGCGAAGGCAGCUCGCUGGAACGGUACUGACGCUGAGGCGCGAAAGCGUGGGGAGCAAACAGG
rnacentral:rRNA from 1 species